GAUCAAUAUAGUUGGGGUGCAGAUACAGGCCUUCCCCUAGGGAAACACUUGCAUCAGUAUUAGUGAGAGACCAAGUACACAUCUGAAGCAUUCCUGUGCUUUCUGUCCACUUGUCAGGUGAAGUUGCCACGUAUGACUGUCCAUCAGCCAGGAGAUGAACCCCCACCCGUGAGGCAGUGACUCAAGGUGCAAGGGAGUCCGGCAAGAAGUGUGGCGCACCCGAGUUGCUGCCACUGCUUUUUGGAUCACCCAGCACGGUGAAGUUGCCACGUAUGACUGUCCAUCAGCCAGGAGAUGAACCCCCACCCGUGAGGCAGUGACUCAAGGUGCAAGGGAGUCCGGCAAGAAGUGUGGCGCACCCGAGUUGCUGCCACUGCUUUUUGGAUCACCCAGCACGGUCUUCUGAAGUCUUCCUGAAAGCAUCCCUGGUGAUCUGUGAGCCCUUGGUCGUGUUGCCCGCCUUCUUCCUGUGGGUCUUGCUGGAUGCUCAUUGUCCCUGUGAGCCGAGGCCCUGGAGGCUUCAGAUUUAGGU
rnacentral:lncRNA from 1 species